rnacentral:piRNA from 1 species
UCCUAGUGCUAUAGUUCCAUGAUGUCUGAGC